UACGAAGGUCCCAAGCGUUAUCCGGAUUUAUUGGGUUUAAAGGGUGCGUAGGCGGGCUAUUAAGUCAGUGGUGAAAGCCCCAAGCUUAACUUGGGAACUGCCAUUGAUACUGAUGGUCUUGAGUACAUUUGAGGUGGGCGGAAUGUGUCAUGUAGCGGUGAAAUGCUUAGGUAUGACACAGAACACCGAUUGCGAAGGCAGCUCACUAAACUGUAACUGACGCUGAGGCACGAAAGCGUGGGGAGCAAACAGG
rnacentral:rRNA from 1 species